rnacentral:rRNA from 1 species
GUCAAGUCAGCAUGGCCUUUAUGUCCUGGGCUACACACACGCUACAAUGGGAAGGGACAAUAGGUUGCGAAGCCGCGAGGCGGAGCCAAUCCAGCAAAACUUCCCUCAGUUCAGAUUGCAGGCUGCAACUCGCCUGCAUGAAGUUGGAGUUGCUAGUAAACGCAGGUCAGCCAUACUGCGUUGAAUACGUUCCCGGGGCUU